rnacentral:misc_RNA from 1 species
GGGGGGGGGAGGAGGAGAAGGGGUAAAGAGCAGCAAUUUGAAAGCCCUGCACCCACGAAGAUAAUGAAGAAUACCGGCUCUAUCCUCGAGCCACUGGUUCAGUCUUACAGACUGGGCAAANUAUUUUUCUGUGCAAGCCAUUGCUUUAUACAUUGUAUAUGAAAGCCAUGUCCACAAUCCAGCUUCCCCAGCUCAUCAUCUGCUUCAUAAUCCUCCUGACAAAUGCUGCACUUUUUGUCCAGAAUCAUGGGCAAAUGUGAUGAAAGGUCGUUCAUAAUUGAGAGCUUCAUUUUCCUGACACAGCGGCUGAUCUCGUCUUCUUUCAGUCCAGUACUCACAUAACCAAUUCUCUCACCUAACUCCAGCAGUUGCUCAUAUGACAUGUGAUCAAUGUCAAGCCUCCAGUCGCUAAACCGAUCCUGUCUUCCUCCCAUCAUGAAACUAUUUUGGAGCAUCAUCAUCUCAGCUAAACCAUCAGGGGAAGGAUGUCGAACAUGACGAUAAUAUCUACUUCCAAAGACUUCAGGUCCUGGGCGAGAUGUUACAAAAGCAGGGUCCGUAUCCAAAAAAGAAAGAGUUUCAGGAUUCACCGUUGCCCGCCUCCCUAAACAGGAAGCACGCUCUCUCUCCCUUUGAUUGAUUUUGUUGUCCCCAUCAAUCUUCCCUCUCCCAG